rnacentral:rRNA from 1 species
GACGAACGCUGGCGGCGUGCUUAACACAUGCAAGUCGAAAGGAAAGGCCUCUUUCGGGGGGUACUCGAGUGGCGAACGGGUGAGUAACACGUGAGUAACCUGCCCUUGACUUUGGGAUAACUUCAGGAAACUGGGGCUAAUACCGGAUAGGAGCUCCUGCUGCAUGGUGGGGGUUGGAAAGUUUCGGCGGUUGGGGAUGGACUCGCGGCUUAUCAGCUUGUUGGUGGGGUAGUGGCUUACCAAGGCUUUGACGGGUAGCCGGCCUGAGAGGGUGACCGGCCACAUUGGGACUGAGAUACGGCCCAGACUCCUACGGGAGGCAGCAGUGGGGAAUAUUGCACAAUGGGUGGAAGCCUGAUGCAGCAACGCCGUGUGCGGGAUGACGGCCUUCGGGUUGUAAACCGCUUUCGCUCAUGACGAAGCUUUGUGUGACGGUAGUGGGUAAAGAAGCACCGGCUAACUACGUG